rnacentral:ncRNA from 2 species
UUGAUCAGUAUUAGAGAGAAUAGAGAUCAAAACUUGAAUCAUUAUAAGUUAAACGUUUUUAGUCUAUUACAAUUUUGACUCUCUAUCGCCGAAGGUGCAAGUGAAAUAACGAAACUCUCAGGCAAAAGGAUAAUACUGUAACG